AGUGAACGCUGGCGGUAGGCCUAACACAUGCAAGUCGAACGGCAGCACAGUAAGAGCUUGCUCUUACGGGUGGCGAGUGGCGGACGGGUGAGGAAUACAUCGGAAUCUACUUUUUCGUGGGGGAUAACGUAGGGAAACUUACGCUAAUACCGAAUACAUCCUACGGGUGAAAGCAGGGGUUCUUCGGACCUUGCGCGAUUGUAUGAGCCGAUGUCGGAUUAGCUAGUUGGCGGGGUAAAGGCCCACCAAGGCGACGAUCCGUAGCUGGUCUGAGAGGAUGAUCAGCCACACUGGAACUGAGACACGGUCCAGACUCCUACGGGAGGCAGCAGUGGGGAAUAUUGGACAAUGGGCGAAAGCCUGAUCCAGCCAUACCGCGUGGGUGAAGAAGGCCUUCGGGUUGUAAAGCCCUUUUGUUGGGAAAGAAAAGCAGCAGGUUAAUACCCCGCUGUUCUGACGGUACCCAAAGAAUAAGCACCGGCUAACUUCGUG
rnacentral:rRNA from 1 species